GAAUAUGCUCAAUGGCAAUAUCCUAACCAAUGAAGCUUUCCUGAGGUGAAAUUAUUGCUAGUUGAGAACUUUUUUCUUUAAGAAAAAGGUUAACAAACCCAUGAACCAUUUUCGAUAAAUGUCUAGUUGUUCGAUUUAGGCUGAUCCCCCGAUUUAUUAGGCUGAAUAAUCAGGCACAAAUUAGUGGAAAUUUAAAAAUAAU
rnacentral:snRNA from 13 species